rnacentral:rRNA from 1 species
UCAAGUGAAGAAGCGCAUACGGUGGAUGCCUUGGCAGUCAGAGGCGAUGAAAGACGUGGUAGCCUGCGAAAAGCUUCGGGGAGUCGGCAAACAGACUUUGAUCCGGAGAUCUCUGAAUGGGGGAACCCACCUAGGAUAACCUAGGUAUCUUGUACUGAAUCCAUAGGUGCAAGAGGCGAACCAGGGGAACUGAAACAUCUAAGUACCCUGAGGAAAAGAAAUCAACCGAGAUUCCCUUAGUAGUGGCGAGCGAACGGGGAUUAGCCCUUAAGCUUCAUUGAUUUUAGCGGAACGCUCUGGAAAGUGCGGCCAUAGUGGGUGAUAGCCCCGUACGCGAAAGGAUCUUUGAAGUGAAAUCGAGUAGGACGGAGCACGAGAAACUUUGUCUGAACAUGGGGGGACCAUCCUCCAAGGCUAAAUACUACUGACUGACCGAUAGUGAACCAGUACCGUGAGGGAAAGGCGAAAAGAACCCCGGAGAGGGGAGUGAAAUAGAACCUGAAACCGUAUGCGUACAAGCAGUGGGAGCCUACUUGUUAGGUGACUGCGUACCUUUUGUAUAAUGGGUCAGCGACUUAUAUUCAGUGGCAAGCUUAACCGUAUAGGGUAGGCGUAGCGAAAGCGAGUCUUAAUAGGGCGUUUAGUCGCUGGGUAUAGACCCGAAACCGGGCGAUCUAUCCAUGAGCAGGUUGAAGGUUAGGUAACACUGACUGGAGGACCGAACCCACUCCCGUUGAAAAGGUAGGGGAUGACUUGUGGAUCGGAGUGAAAGGCUAAUCAAGCUCGGAGAUAGCUGGUUCUCCUCGAAAGCUAUUUAGGUAGCGCCUCAUGUAUCACUCUGGGGGGUAGAGCACUGUUUCGGCUAGGGGGUCAUCCCGACUUACCAAACCGAUGCAAACUCCGAAUACCCAGAAGUGCCGAGCAUGGGAGACACACGGCGGGUGCUAACGUCCGUCGUGAAAAGGGAAACAACCCAGACCGCCAGCUAAGGUCCCAAAGUUGUGGUUAAGUGGUAAACGAUGUGGGAAGGCUUAGACAGCUAGGAGGUUGGCUUAGAAGCAGCCAUCCUUUAAAGAAAGCGUAAUAGCUCACUAGUCGAGUCGGCCUGCGCGGAAGAUGUAACGGGGCUCAAACCACACACCGAAGCUGCGGGUGUCACGUAAGUGACGCGGUAGAGGAGCGUUCUGUAAGCCUGUGAAGGUGAGUUGAGAAGCUUGCUGGAGGUAUCAGAAGUGCGAAUGCUGACAUGAGUAACGACAAUGGGUGUGAAAAACACCCACGCCGAAAGACCAAGGGUUCCUGCGCAACGUUAAUCGACGCAGGGUUAGUCGGUUCCUAAGGCGAGGCUGAAAAGCGUAGUCGAUGGGAAACAGGUUAAUAUUCCUGUACUUCUGGUUACUGCGAUGGAGGGACGGAGAAGGCUAGGCCAGCUUGGCGUUGGUUGUCCAAGUUUAAGGUGGUAGGCUGAAAUCUUAGGUAAAUCCGGGGUUUCAAGGCCGAGAGCUGAUGACGAGUCGUCUUUUAGAUGACGAAGUGGUUGAUGCCAUGCUUCCAAGAAAAGCUUCUAAGCUUCAGGUAACCAGGAACCGUACCCCAAACCGACACAGGUGGUCGGGUAGAGAAUACCAAGGCGCUUGAGAGAACUCGGGUGAAGGAACUAGGCAAAAUGGCACCGUAACUUCGGGAGAAGGUGCGCCGGCUAGGGUGAAGGAUUUACUCCGUAAGCUCUGGCUGGUCGAAGAUACCAGGCCGCUGCGACUGUUUAUUAAAAACACAGCACUCUGCAAACACGAAAGUGGACGUAUAGGGUGUGACGCCUGCCCGGUGCCGGAAGGUUAAUUGAUGGGGUUAGCGCAAGCGAAGCUCUUGAUCGAAGCCCCGGUAAACGGCGGCCGUAACUAUAACGGUCCUAAGGUAGCGAAAUUCCUUGUCGGGUA